UGACUGAAGAAAACUUGUUGACUGAAGACAGGAAGUAGUUUAUCUCUAACUUUAAAAAAGAGCCUCAAACAUAGAAACAUGUCUGAGGCCUAAUGGUCUGGUUUGGCUUUAACAAGAAAAAAAUCAUGUUUCAACAUCACAAGAUCAUCUCACCCCUAAUUAGUCACAAAUGGUGUAAUUUUAAGGAUGACACACAGGUGUGAUCAAACAGAAAUAAUAACAGGUCAGAUUUUAAGUAAACAGACAUUAGAUAUUGAAGUUUGAUGACAAAGUUAUCAUCAGCCUGUUGGAGCGAGAGGAUGAUUCACCUGGUCAGGUGGUUUUAUUUUUGGUUUAUUUUGGUUUUAUUUUUAAACUUAAAACUGAAAAUCAACAGAAUAAAAGACUUCAGAGAGAAGUCCAGUCCACCAGCUUCAGCUCUCAUUAAAGGGGAACCGUUGGAGCGAGUGACAUUCAGUGUUAAAAAUGUAACGCAAUCAGUUGCAUUUUUAUGUCAUGAUGGUAAAUCUAACGCACAGUAACAUCUGUGAAAAGCGGCUUCUCUGGAAGUUCUGCUUCUACACAAUCUGAUUGGACGCUGGAAAGAUUGUUGUUGUGAUCAAGUUGUGCUAAAAGUAUUUAGCCUGCUAGCACAGCUAUUGAAGCCUCAAAUAGCACUUGAAUGCUAAAGAUGUAGCAGCUAAUGCUAAUGUUAGCAUCCAUAGUCCAUGUUUCUAAAUAAGCUCCAUGAAUGAUCAGGGCUUCCUGAAACUCUGGAAAGAUUAACUUUAAAUAAUCAGAAU